rnacentral:rRNA from 1 species
CCUACGGGUGGCAGCAGUGAGGAAUAUUGGUCAAUGGGCGAAAUCCUGAACCAGCCAUGUAGCGUGCAGGAUGACUGCCCUAUGAGUUGUAAACUGCUUUUAUAUGGGGGUAAAAUGUUCCACGUGUAGGGUUUUGUAAGUACGGUAUGAAUAAGGAUCGGCUAACUCCGUGCCAGCAGCCGCGGUAAUACGGAGGAUCCGAGCGUUAUCCGGAUUUAUUGGGUUUAAAGGGUGCGUAGGUUGUUUGAUAAGUUAGUGGUGAAAGAUUGAGGCUCAACCGUGAGAUUGCAGUUGAAACUGGAAGACUAGAGAUCAGAAGCGGCAGGCGGAAUUUGUGGUGUAGCAGUGAAAUGCUUAGAUAUUACGAAGAACUCCGAUUGCGAAGGCAGCUUACUAGACUGCAUCUGACACUGAUGCUCGAAAGUGUGGGUAUCAAACAGGAUUAGAUACCCCGGUAGUC